GUAGAGCGGAUGAAGGGAGCUUGCUCCUGGAUUCAGCGGCGGACGGGUGAGUAAUGCCUAGGAAUCUGCCUGGUAGUGGGGGAUAACGUCCGGAAACGGGCGCUAAUACCGCAUACGUCCUGAGGGAGAAAGUGGGGGAUCUUCGGACCUCACGCUAUCAGAUGAGCCUAGGUCGGAUUAGCUAGUUGGUGGGGUAAAGGCCUACCAAGGCGACGAUCCGUAACUGGUCUGAGAGGAUGAUCAGUCACACUGGAACUGAGACACGGUCCAGACUCCUACGGGAGGCAGCAGUGGGGAAUAUUGGACAAUGGGCGAAAGCCUGAUCCAGCCAUGCCGCGUGUGUGAAGAAGGUCUUCGGAUUGUAAAGCACUUUAAGUUGGGAGGAAGGGCAGUAAGUUAAUACCUUGCUGUUUUGACGUUACCAACAGAAUAAGCACCGGCUAACUUCGUGCCAGCAGCCGCGGUAAUACGAAGGGUGCAAGCGUUAAUCGGAAUUACUGGGCGUAAAGCGCGCGUAGGUGGUUCAGCAAGUUGGAUGUGAAAUCCCCGGGCUCAACCUGGGAACUGCAUCCAAAACUACUGAGCUAGAGUACGGUAGAGGGUGGUGGAAUUUCCUGUGUAGCGGUGAAAUGCGUAGAUAUAGGAAGGAACACCAGUGGCGAAGGCGACCACCUGGACUGAUACUGACACUGAGGUGCGAAAGCGUGGGGAGCAAAACAGGGAUUAGAUACCCUGGUAGUCCACGCCGUAAACGAUGUCGACUAGCCGUUGGGAUCCUUGAGAUCUUAGUGGCGCAGCUAACGCGAUAAGUCGACCGCCUGGGGAGUACGGCCGCAAGGUUAAAACUCAAAUGAAUUGACGGGGGCCCGCACAAACGGUGGAUCAUGUGGUUUAAUUCGAAGCAACGCGAAGAACCUUACCUGGCCUUGACAUGCUGAGAACUUUCCAGAGAUGGAUUGGUGCCUUCGGGAACUCAGACACAGGUGCUGCAUGGCUGUCGUCAGCUCGUGUCGUGAGAUGUUGGGUUAAGUCCCGUAACGAGCGCAACCCUUGUCCUUAGUUACCAGCACCUCGGGUGGGCACUCUAAGGAGACUGCCGGUGACAAACCGGAGGAAGGUGGGGAUGACGUCAAGUCAUCAUGGCCCUUACGGCCAGGGCUACACACGUGCUACAAUGGUCGGUACAAAGCGUUGCCAAGCCUCGAGGUGGAGCUAAUCCCAUA
rnacentral:rRNA from 1 species